rnacentral:lncRNA from 1 species
AUGCUCCUCCCCAUUUACCUGGCAAGAGCCAGGUGGGUGGGGCCUCCUAUAAAAGGGGCUAUUUGCUCCCUCCUCUCGCUCUGUCUCUCUUACAUCUUAUUCUCUUGUUCUUACUCUUGCUCCCUUCCUCCUCCUCUCUCCUCCUUCCUUUCCCUGCCUCUCAGCGUGGCCAUGGUCGGUCUACUUCUCUACUGUCUCCCUCUCUCUACCUUUCUACUAUAAAUACUUUAAAACCAUGGACUGCCUGUUUUCAUUGGACCCACUGUGCUGGAGCAAUGGAGCAGGUCUCCCUCUAACAAGCCACACAUCUAACCUCCCACAGGAAGCCUCCCUGUUCUCCGGCCACAGCUGCCACCCAACCCAGCCACUGAACAAGACAAGGACUCUCAUCGCCGUGGUAACCAGGUCACAGUAGCCACAUUUUGUAUAAUAUUAAAGAUAUAAGACUGGGCUAGAAAAACCUCAGAAUUUCAGAGAAGACCCCAGGUCCCACGAUCUCUGAACAGCGUUCUGCUUAAGCACAUAAUAACAAACUCUUCAUUGUUGGUAUGACAACAGCCCCACCCUUCCCACUUGAAGCCUACUUCUUCCUUCAGAGCUUGAGUGUGUUGACAUAACUUGUGGCUACUCCUGGUUUCAGAAGGCACUAAGCAACAGAAGAUCUAUCACUGAUGUGAACAGGAGAAAAUUCUUAAGACGUUCACUAAGUAAACUGGCACUUCUACUGCAAAAUUGAAUGUUACCCUGAGAUGCUUCAGAUAUUCUGAAUGGUAACAUAUGGUCUUUGUAAUUGGAUUCCCUCAUUUGCAUAAUGUUUUCAAGAUCAGCUAUUAUUGUAUGUGCUUAUUUUGGAUGACUUCGGCAAGAAUUGCUUCUCUUGAGGUUUCUAGCAAAUGCAGCAAUCAAACUGUGGUCCAGAGUGACGAACUGACCGGUUGUCUUAAGGAAGCUUCGGGAACACGGGGCAAGCCUUGCCUUGUUGAAUCAGUGAUAUGAUACAGAGGUCACAGAAACUUGAACAUGGGUCACCUUCUUGCCUGCUCGCUAUCCCUCUGUCACCUUCAAACAUUUCUGAUGUGAUUUACAAUGGGCAUCAAGACUCACAGAAUUUGUUUCAAUGGUGAUCCGUAAGCAUACAUUCUUUGUGAUCUUCACCCAGAACACUGUAUGGGAAGCAUCAAAAUCAGUCCUGUGCAGUGCUCUUCUGUGGCAUCGAGCGCUCUCUCUCUCUCUCUCUCUCUCUCUUUCUCUCUCUCUCUCUCUCUCUCUCUCCUCUCUCUCUGCAUUUGUGUAUUUGUGUAAUCACACACACAUAUGUAACCAACAUUGUAUGCAUUUAGAAAACACCCUGCCAUACACAAUGAGAAACAAACCAUUCAUUUUAUCUCAGAACCACAGCUACACCAGAAUUCAUAUUUGUGCAAGUCAUUGUUAGGCUAAAUAAGAAAUAUAUCGGAGUCCUAACAAACUAGUUUCUGUUCAGAAAUUGGGGACAUGAGCUCUAACAACAGCUGGUGCAUGUUCUACCACAUGUAUAAGUCAUACAAAAAAAGGUAUCAUUGUAAAAAAUAAAAUUGUUUUAAU